rnacentral:tRNA from 1 species
GGCGACAUAGCUCAGGGGUAAGAGCGUUUGUCUGGCAGUCAGAGGGUUGCCAGUUCGAUCCCCCGCCCUGGGCG